AGUGAAUGCUGGCGGUAGGCCUAACACAUGCAAGUCGAACGGCAGCACAGUAAGAGCUUGCUCUUACGGGUGGCGAGUGGCGGACGGGUGAGGAAUACAUCGGAAUCUACUUUUUCGUGGGGGAUAACGUAGGGAAACUUACGCUAAUACCGCAUACGACCUACGGGUGAAAGCAGGGGAUCUUCGGACCUUGCGCGAUUGAAUGAGCCGAUGUCGGAUUAGCUAGUUGGCGGGGUAAAGGCCCACCAAGGCGACGAUCCGUAGCUGGUCUGAGAGGAUGAUCAGCCACACUGGAACUGAGACACGGUCCAGACUCCUACGGGAGGCAGCAGUGGGGAAUAUUGGACAAUGGGCGCAAGCCUGAUCCAGCCAUACCGCGUGGGUGAAGAAGGCCUUCGGGUUGUAAAGCCCUUUUGUUGGGAAAGAAAAGCAGCGGGUUAAUACCCCGCUGUUCUGACGGUACCCAAAGAAUAAGCACCGGCUAACUUCGUG
rnacentral:rRNA from 1 species